rnacentral:rRNA from 1 species
UACGGAGGGUGCGAGCGUUGUUCGGAAUCACUGGGCGUAAAGGGCGUGUAGGCGGUCCGCUAAGUCUGAUGUGAAAGCCCGGGGCUCACCCCCCGGAAGUGCAUUGGAAACUGGUGGACUCGAGUCCCGGAGAGGAGAGUGGAAUUCCUGGUGUAGCGGUGAAAUGCGUAGAUAUCAGGAGGAACACCGAUGGCGAAGGCAGGUCUCUGGGCCAUAACUGACGCUGAGAAGCGAAAGCAUGGGGAGCGAACAGG